rnacentral:rRNA from 1 species
UACGUAGGGGGCAAGCGUUGUCCGGAUUUAUUGGGCGUAAAGAGCGUGUAGGCGGCCAUGCAGGUCCGCUGUGAAAACUCGAGGCUCAACCUCGAGACGUCGGUGGAAACCGUAUGGCUAGAGUCCGGAAGAGGAGAGUGGAAUUCCCGGUGUAGCGGUGAAAUGCGCAGAUAUCGGGAAGAACACCAGUGGCGAAGGCGGCUCGCUGGGACAGUACUGACGCUGAGACGCGAAAGCGAGGGGAGCGAACAGG